AUUGAACGCUGGCGGCAUGCCUUACACAUGCAAGCCGAACGGUAACAGGUCUUCGGAUGCUGACGAGUGGCGAACGGGUGAGUAAUACAUCGGAACGUGCCCGAGAGUGGGGGAUAACGAGGAGAAAGCUUUGCUAAUACCGCAUACGAUCUCAGGAUGAAAGCAGGGGACCGCAAGGCCUUGCGCCCACGGAGCGGCCGAUGGCAGAUUAGGUAGGUGGUGGGAUAAAAGCUUACCAAGCCGACGAUCUGUAGCUGGUCUGAGAGGACGGCCAGCCACACUGGGACUGAGACACGGCCCAUACUCCUACGGGAGGCAGCAGUGGGGAAUUUUGGACAAUGGGCGCAAGCCUGAUCCAGCCAUGCCGCGUGCAGGAUGAAGGCCUUCGGGUUGUAAACUGCUUUUGUACGGAACGAAAAGACUCUGGUUAAUACCUGGGGUCCAUGACGGUACCGUAAGAAUAAGCACCGGCUAACUACGUGCCAGCAGCCGCCGCAGUAA
rnacentral:rRNA from 1 species